AUGAACGCUGGCGGUAUGCUUAACACAUGCAAGUCGAACGGUCUCUUCGGAGAUAGUGGCGGACGGGUGAGUAACGCGUGAGAAUCUGCCUCUAGAUUCGGGACAACAGUUGGAAACGACUGCUAAUACCGGAUGUGCCGAAAGGUGAAAGAUUAAUUGUCUAGAGAUGAGCUCGCGUCUGAUUAGCUAGUUGGUGGGGUAAGAGCCUACCAAGGCGACGAUCAGUAGCUGGUCUGAGAGGAUGAUCAGCCACACUGGGACUGAGACACGGCCCAGACUCCUACGGGGCAGCAGGCAGCAGUGGGGAAUUUCCGCAAUGGGCGAAAGCCCUGACGGAGCAAUACCGCGUGAGGGAGGAAGGCUCUUGGGUUGUAAACCUCUUUUCUCAGGGAAUAAAAUUUGAAGGUACCUGAGGAAUAAGCAUCGGCUAACUCCGUGCCAGCAGCCGCGGUAAUACGGAGGAUGCAAGCGUUAUCCGGAAUGAAUGUGGGCGUAAAGCGUCCGCAGGGUGGCCCUGUAAGUCUGCUGUCAAAGAGUUUGGCUCAACCCAAAUAAAGGCAGUGGAAACUACAGAGCUAGAGUGCGUUCGGGGCAGAAGGAAUUUCUGGUGUAGUAGCGGUGAAAAUGCGUAGAUAUCAGGAAGAACACGGUGGCGAAAGCGUUCUGCUAGGGCCGCAACUGACACUGAGGUACGAAAGCUAGGGGAGCGAAUGGAUUAGAUACCCCAGUAGUCCUAGCCGUAACGAUGGGAUACUAGGCGUUGACUUGUAUCGACCCGAGCCGUGCCGGAGCUUAACGCGUUAAGUAUCCCGCCUGGGGAGUACGCACGCAAGUGUGAAACUCAAAGGAAUUGACGGGGGCCCGCACAAGCGGUGGAGUAUGUGGUUUAAUUCGAUGCAACGCGAAGAACCUUACCAGGACUUGACAUGUCGCGAAUCUCGGUGAAAGCUGAGAGUGCCUUCGGGAGCGCGAACACAGGUGGUGCAUGGCUGUCGUCAGCUCGUGUCGUGAGAUGUUGGGUUAAGUCCCGCAACGAGCGCAACCCUCGUUUUUAGUUGCCAGCAUUAAGAUGGGCACUCUAGAGAGACUGCCGGUGACAAACCGGAGGAAGGUGGGGAUGACGUCAAGUCGGCAUGCCCCUUACGUCCUGGGCUACACACGUACUACAAUGCUACGGACAAAGGGCAGCAAGCUAGCGUAGCAGCAAAUCUCGGAAACCGUAGCUCAGUUCAGAUCGCAGGCUGCAACUCGCCUGCGUGAAGGAGGAAUCGCUAGUAAUUGCAGGUCAGCAUACUGCAGUGAAUUCGUUCCCGGGCCUUGUACACACCGCCCGUCACACCAUGGAAGCUGGUCACGCCCGAAGUCAUUACCCCAACCUUCGGGAGGGGGAUGCCUAAGGUAGGACUGGUGACUGGGGUG
rnacentral:rRNA from 1 species